rnacentral:rRNA from 1 species
AGUCUCCUGAAGGAACGUUGAAGACGGCGACGUUGAUAGGCCGGGUGUGUAAGCGCAGUGAUGCGUUGAGCUAACCGGUACUAAUGAACCGUGAGGCUUAACCUUACAACGCCGAAG